AACAAGUGGGUUUUAUUUAAACAGAUGUAUUGAGCAGACUGGAGAGGUGAGUGGAUAAUCUUGUGUAGAGUAAUUCGGGUAGUUGUGACAAGAUGGUGAUAACUUCUCUUUUCCCAGGGGUAUUGGAAGACGAGACGAGACGAGGGGAUCCAGGUUGACACACACACUUCGAGACUUGGAACUCUACUUGGAGAGGACAACACAAGGAGGAAGAAUACAGGAGGUAAGUCAAACAAGGCAAGUAUACUUUCUUGGAAGGCUAUGGUCUUUGAUAGCAGGCUAUGGUCUUUGAUAGCAGGCUACAGCGUCAUCAGAGUCCACGUUGAGAAACGAGAUCGGACAGUGAAGUGAGUGUGUGAGGAUCUUUUCUAGCGGGUGUUGAUGAGGCUGUGAUCAGGUGCAGGUGUGCGUGAUUAGAACUCUGGAGAGGUGGAACGCUGUGAUUGGUGGAGUGAAGGGCCUGACUGAUCUGUGACAGGUUUAUUAUGAGCUCCUCUUGCUGUCUGCAGGCCGUCCUCCUGUUCUGUCCACCGCUGAGGCUGUAGGGAUUGUGACUGCUGUAGUGAUCAUCACUCUGAUUAUAGCUGUUGUGGGACGAGCUGGCAGCACUUUCAGUUAUUACACAACUCAGAGCCCCAGUGACCUACAACAGGAUGUCACAUAUUCUGAUGCCACAAUACUGAAACCAGGCAAAGCUAACAGAAGCACCUCAUCAUCAGGGGACAUUGAAUACGCUGUGGUUUCCUUCAGUGGUCGAUCAGAAUCAUCAUCACUGCGAGCCUCAGCCAAUCAGAUGGCUUUGGGUUUCCACACAGCAGAGCAGGAAACUGUGUACGCAGAGUGAGAAUGGACUGAUUGCCACCUUUCCCGAUCCCGCCCCCUUUCUCUCUCCCACUGCGCUUCCAGUCAAAACUUAC